CGCCAGGAGAGCCCUGCACGCUUGCCCUUUCAAGCUGCGAAAUCACUGAGUUGCAGCCGUCCAGUAACAAGCGGCGGGAGGCAGGACCUUCACGCCCACCCUUCCCUCCAAAUAGAAGUUCGGCUGACUUGAAGAAUUUUGUCGAUUUGGCUCCGUGCCACAGGACCGUCUGGAAGAGUGUCGCUUAAGCAGAGUGGGGAGGCUGCUGCACACGAACAACCCCACCCUCGGCCGCAGAAGCUGGAUUCCAGUGGCACGGUUAGACGUAACGGCUGGAAACUCCCUUGGCUGCAUUGGACGGCCAUGUCUUCUUUCAUGCUUUAAAAUGUCCUUUUCACUCCCAGUGGGCUGCUGUGUCGCCUUCCUAACCGUUGAAUCCUCCAGUGGGUUUCCUCCGCCCAAUACUCCAGAACAGACUUUGCAUGUUAGGCUGAGCCAGCCCCGAAACUCACCGAGGGUUUGAGACCUGUCGGCUACCCUCACCUGGUUUAGCACGUCAGCCAAAGCGGUUUUCCAGGGUGUGGCAGCUGCCUCAUGCUAACAGCUUCUUGGAGCUACAGUGAUUUGAAUUGACUGGACUUUGGCAUCUGGUUUGAUGAGAACAUUGGGAAGAGGUUGCGUUGGCAUCUGCCUAUCUUAUUGGAACGCACCAGCAGUUAGGUUAUGAUAAAUCCUGGAGCUGAGUAACCCUGGCAAGACAUCAGAGUAGAUUACAGAUGGCUGUGGGGAAGAAGCUGUUCCUGAACCUGGACGUU